rnacentral:rRNA from 1 species
UACGUAGGUGACCAGCGUUGUCCGGAUUUACUGGGCGUAAAGAGCGCGCAGGCGGUCGUCCAAGUCGCGUGUGAAAGCCCCCGGCUCAACUGGGGAGGGUCACGCGAUACUGGUCGACUCGAAGGCAGGAGAGGGUAGUGGAAUUCCCGGUGUAGUGGUGAAAUGCGCAGAUAUCAGGAGGAACACCGGUGGCGAAGGCGGGUCUCUGGGCCGUAACUGACGCUGAGAAGCGAAAGCAUGGGGAGCGAACAGG